GCCACGCCGAUGAAAAGCUCUGGACCCCGGGCCUGCGACUAUUCAGUUUAUCGAAUGUUCGCGUCUUGAAGUGAAGGGCAUUGACACUCUAUGUAAGGUC
rnacentral:sRNA from 1 species